rnacentral:rRNA from 1 species
UUCGCCCUUGUUGAUCCUGCCGGACCCGACUGCUAUCAGAGUGGGACUAAGCCAUGCGAGUCAACGCCGUAAGGCGUGGCAUACGGCUCAGUAACACGUAGUCAACAUGCCCAAAGGACGUGGAUAACCUCGGGAAACUGAGGAUAAACCGCGAUAGGCCAAGGUUUCUGGAAUGAGCCAUGGCCGAAAUCUAUACGGCCUUUGGAUUGGACUGCGGCCGAUCAGGCUGUUGGUGAGGUAAUGGCCCACCAAACCUGUAACCGGUACGGGCUUUGAGAGAAGGAGCCCGGAGAUGGGCACUGAGACAAGGGCCCAGGCCCUAUGGGGCGCAGCAGGCGCGAAACCUCUGCAAUAGGCGAAAGCUUGACAGGGUUACUCUGAGUGAUGCCCGCUAAGGGUAUCUUUUGGCACCUCUAAAAAUGGUGCAGAAUAAGGGGUGGGCAAGUCUGGUGUCAGCCGCCGCGGUAAUACCAGCACCCCGAGUUGUCGGGACGAUUAUUGGGCCUAAAGCAUCCGUAGCCUGUUCUGCAAGUCCUCCGUUAAAUCCACCCGCUUAACGGAUGGGCCGCGGGGGAUACUGCAGAGCUAGGAGGCGGGAGAGGCAAACGGUACUCAGUGGGUAGGGGU